UACGGGGGGGGUAAGCGUUGUUCGGAAUUACUGGGCGUAAAGGGCUCGUAGGCGGCCAACUAAGUCAUACGUGAAAUCCCUCAGCUUAACUGGGGAACUGCGUGUGAUACUGGAUGGCUUGGAUGUGGGAGAGGGAUGCGGAAUUCCAGGUGUAGCGGUGAAAUGCGUAGAUAUCGGGAGGAACACCUGUGGCGAAGGCGGCCAUCUGGACAACUACUGACACUGAGACGCGAAAGCGUGGGUAGCAAACAGG
rnacentral:rRNA from 1 species